rnacentral:rRNA from 1 species
GGUGCAUGGCUGUCGUCAGCUCGUGUGUGAGAUGUUGGGUUAAGUCCCGCAACGAGCCGCAACCCUUUAUUUCUUUAGUUGUUUUCCCUUUGGGAUUACCCUCUAAGAAGACUGCCUCGGAUAACGGGGAGGAAGGUGGGGAUGACGUCAAGUCCGCAUGCUCCUUACGUCUAGGGCUACACACGUCCUACAAUGGGGUCGACAAUGGGAUGCAAUAUCGCAAGAUGGAGCCAAUCCCCAAACGGCCUCUCAGUUCGGAUUGUAGUCUGCAACUCGACUACAUGAAGUUGGAAUCGCUAGUAAUGGCAGAUCAGCAUGCUGCCGUGAAUACGUUCCCGGGUCUU